rnacentral:siRNA from 1 species
AUUUCUAAGGAAUGUUGUUUUACA